rnacentral:rRNA from 1 species
UACGUAGGGGGCUAGCGUUGUCCGGAAUCAUUGGGCGUAAAGAGCGUGUAGGCGGCCCGGAAAGUCGGAUGUGAAAACCUGGGGCUCAACCCCAGGCGUGCACCCGAUACUCCCGGGCUGGAGGCAGGUAGGGGAGAUCGGAAUUCCUGGUGUAGCGGUGAAAUGCGCAGAUAUCAGGAGGAACACCGGUGGCGAAGGCGGAUCUCUGGGCCUUGCCUGACGCUGAGGCGCGAAAGCUAGGGGAGCGAACAGG